rnacentral:rRNA from 1 species
UAGGGAAUCUUCGGCAAUGGGGGGAACCCUGACCGAGCAACGCCGCGUGAGUGAAGAAGGUUUUCGGAUCGUAAAGCUCUGUUGUUAAGGAAGAACGAGUGUGAGAAUGGAAAGUUCAUGCUGUGACGGUACUUAACCAGAAAGGGACGGCUAACUACGUGCCAGCAGCCGCGGUAAUACGUAGGUCCCGAGCGUUGUCCGGAUUUAUUGGGCGUAAAGCGAGCGCAGGCGGUUAGAAAAGUCUGAAGUGAAAGGCAGUGGCUCAACCAUUGUAGGCUUUGGAAACUGUUUAACUUGAGUGCAGAAGGGGAGAGUGGAAUUCCAUGUGUAGCGGUGAAAUGCGUAGAUAUUAGGAGGAACACCAGUGGCGAAGGCGACUUACUGGGCCAUAACUGACGCUGAGGCGCGAAAGCGUGGGGAGCAAACAGG